GCCCGGCUAGCUCAAUCGGUAGAGCGUGAGACUCUUAUUCUUCGAGUUCCCAUCCGGACUACAGAUAAUCUCAAGGCUGUGGGUUCGACCCCCACGUCGGGCU